GAUGAACGCUGGCGGCGUGCCUAAUACAUGCAAGUCGAGCGAACAGACGAGGAGCUUGCUCCUCUGACGUUAGCGGCGGACGGGUGAGUAACACGUGGAUAACCUACCUAUAAGACUGGGAUAACUUCGGGAAACCGGAGCUAAUACCGGAUAAUAUAUUGAACCGCAUGGUUCAAUAGUGAAAGACGGUUUUGCUGUCACUUAUAGAUGGAUCCGCGCCGCAUUAGCUAGUUGGUAAGGCAACGGCUUACCAAGGCGACGAUGCGUAGCCGACCUGAGAGGGUGAUCGGCCACACUGGAACUGAGACACGGUCCAGACUCCUACGGGAGGCAGCAGUAGGGAAUCUUCCGCAAUGGGCGAAAGCCUGACGGAGCAACGCCGCGUGAGUGAUGAAGGUCUUCGGAUCGUAAAACUCUGUUAUUAGGGAAGAACAACUGUGUAAGUAACUAUGCACGUCUUGACGGUACCUAAUCAGAAAGCCACGGCUAACUACGUG
rnacentral:rRNA from 1 species